ensembl:lncRNA
UGGGACCUUGGUGACACAGAACCCAUUGGAGCCACUUGGGUGCCAUCGGUUCCACUUUGGGGUCGGAUUUGGGGUCACUGCGGCCCUAUUGGGGACCCCAGAACCCUAUGGGGCCGUUUUGGGUCCAAUUUGGGACUUUUGGGGCCAUUUUGGGUCAAUUUUGGGACACUUUUGGGACCUUGGUGACACAGAACCCAUUGGGGCCACUUGGGUGCCAUCGGUUCCACUUUGGGGUCGGAUUUGGGGUCACUGCGACCCUAUUGGGGACCCCAGAACCCUAUAGGGCCGUUUUGGGUCCAAUUUGGAACUUUUUGGGGCCAUUUGGGGUCAAUUCGGGACAUUUUGGGACAUUUUGGGGACCUUGGUGACACAGAACCCAUUGGGGCCACUUGGGUGCCAUCGGUUCCACUUUGGGGUUGGAUUUGGGGUCACUGCGGCCCUAUUGGGGACCCCAGAACCUUAUGGGGCCAUUUUGGUUCCAAUUUGGGACUUUUGGGGGCCAUUUGGGGUCAAUUUGGGGACAUUUUUGGGACCUUGGUGACAUCAGAACCCAUUGGGGCCACUUGGGUGCCAUCGGUUCCAGUUUGGGGUCGGAUUUGGGGUAACUGCGGCCCUAUUGGGGACCCCAGAACCUUAUGGGGCCAUUUUGGGUCCAAUUUGGGUGAAUUUUGGGUCCAAUUUGGGACUUUUGGGGGACAUUUUUGGGACCUUGGGGACACAGAACCCAUUGGGGCCACUUGGGUGCCAUCGGUUCCAGUUUGGGGUUGGAUUUGGGGUCACUGCGACCCUAUUGGUGACUCCAGCACCCUAUAGGGCCGUUUUGGGUCCAAUUUGGGGCUUUUGGGGGCCAUUUGGGGUCAAUUUGGGGACAUUUUUGGGACCUUGGUGACAUCAGAACCCAUUGGGGCCACUUGGGUGCCAUCGGUUCCAGUUUGGGGUCGGAUUUGGGGUCACUGCGACCCUAUUGGGGACACCGGAACCUUAUGGGGCCGUUUUGGGUCCAAUUUGGGGACAUUUGGGGACAUUUUUGGGACCUUGGUGACAUCAGAACCCAUUGGCGCCACUUGGGUGCCAUCGGUUCCACUUUGGGGUCAGAUUUGGGGUCACUGCAGCCCUAUUGGUGACCCCAGAACCUUAUGGGGCCAUUUUGGGUCCAAUUUGGGACUUUUGGGGGCCAUUUUGGGUCAAUUUGGGGCCAUUUUGGGGACCUUGGUGACACAGAACCCAUUGGGGCCACUUGGGUGCCAUCGGUUCCAGUUUGGGGUCGGAUUUGGGGUCACUGCGGCCCUAUUGGGGACCCCAGAACCCUAUAGGGCUGUUUUGGGUCCAAUUUGGGACAGUUUGGGGCGUUUUUGGGACCUUGGUGACAUCAGAACCCAUUGGGGCCACUUGGGUGCCAUCGGUUCCACUUUGGGGUCGGAUUUGGGGUCACUGCGACCCUAUUGGGGACACCAGAACCUUAUGGGGCCGUUUUGGGUCCAAUUUGGGGACAUUUUGGGACAUUUUUGGGACCUUGGUGACACAGAACCCAUUGGGGCCACUUGGGUGCCAUCGGUUCCAGUUUGGGGUCGGAUUUGGGGUCACUGCGACCCUAUUGGGGACCCCAGAACCUUAUGGGGCCGUUUUGGGUCCAAUUUGGGGACAUUUUGGGACAUUUUUGGGACUUUGGUGACAUCAGAACCCAUUGGGGCCCCUUGGGUGCCAUCGGUUCCACUUUGGGGUCGGAUUUGGGGUCACUGCGGCCCUAUUGGGGACCCCAGAACCCUAUAGGGCCAUUUUGGGUCCAAUUUGGGUGAAUUUUGGGUCCAAUUUGGGACUUUUGGGGGACAUUUUUGGGACCUUGGUGACACAGAACCCAUUGGGGCCACUUGGGUGCCAUCGGUUCCACUUUGGGGUCGGAUUUGGGGUCACUGCGUCCCUAUUGGGGACACCAGAACCUUAUGGGGCCAUUUUGGGUCCAAUUUGGGGUGAAUUUGGGGUCUUUUUGGGGCCCCGCAGGGCAGCGAGGCGGAGGUGGGGGAAUCGGAAUCGGAGAUGGAGGACGAAACCUUCAACCCCUCCGAGGAGGACUAUGAGGAAGAGGAGGAGGACAGCGAUGAAGAUUAUUCCUCCGAGGCCGAAGAGUCGGGUGAGGAAAACCCCCCCCCAAAAUCAGCCCAAAAUGACCCGAAAUCCCAUAAAUCUUGACCCCCAAAAAUUGGAGAUUCUGAAGACACGAAAUCCCGUAAAUUUUGACCC